rnacentral:rRNA from 1 species
CCUGCGGAAGGAUCAUUACCGAGUGUAGGGUUCCUAGCGAGCCCAACCUCCCACCCGUGUUUACUGUACCUUAGUUGCUUCGGCGGGCCCGCCAUUCAUGGCCGCCGGGGGCUCUCAGCCCCGGGCCCGCGCCCGCCGGAGACACCACGAACUCUGUCUGAUCUAGUGAAGUCUGAGUUGAUUGUAUCGCAAUCAGUUAAAACUUUCAACAAUGGAUCUCUUGGUUCCGGCAUCGAUGAAGAACGCAGCGAAAUGCGAUAACUAGUGUGAAUUGCAGAAUUCCGUGAAUCAUCGAGUCUUUGAACGCACAUUGCGCCCCCUGGUAUUCCGGGGGGCAUGCCUGUCCGAGCGUCAUUGCUGCCCAUCAAGCACGGCUUGUGUGUUGGGUCGUCGUCCCCUCUCCGGGGGGGACGGGCCCCAAAGGCAGCGGCGGCACCGCGUCCGAUCCUCGAGCGUAUGGGGCUUUGUCACCCGCUCUGUAGGCCCGGCCGGCGCUUGCCGAACGCAAAUCAAUCUUUUUCCAGGUUGACCUCGGAUCAGGUAGUGGAUACCCGCUGAACUUAAGCAUAUCAAAA